rnacentral:rRNA from 1 species
UCUGGGACAAGCCCUGGAAACGGGGUCUAAUACCGGAUAACACCGGCUUCCGCAUGGGAGCUGGUUAAAAGCUCCGGCGGUGAAGGAUGAGCCCGCGGCCUAUCAGCUUGUUGGUGGGGUAAUGGCCUACCAAGGCGACGACGGGUAGCCGGCCUGAGAGGGCGACCGGCCACACUGGGACUGAGACACGGCCCAGACUCCUACGGGAGGCAGCAGUGGGGAAUAUUGCACAAUGGGCGAAAGCCUGAUGCAGCGACGCCGCGUGAGGGAUGACGGCCUUCGGGUUGUAAACCUCUUUCAGCAGGGAAGAAGCGAAAGUGACGGUACCUGCAGAAGAAGCGCCGGCUAACUACGUGCCAGCAGCCGCGGUAAUACGUAGGGCGCAAGCGUUGUCCGGAAUUAUUGGGCGUAAAGAGCUCGUAGGCGGCUUGUCACGUCGGGUGUGAAAGCCCGGGGCUUAACCCCGGGUCUGCAUCCGAUACGGGCAGGCUAGAGUGUGGUAGGGGAGAUCGGAAUUCCUGGUGUAGCGGUGAAAUGCGCAGAUAUCAGGAGGAACACCGGUGGCGAAGGCGGAUCUCUGGGCCAUUACUGACGCUGAGGAGCGAAAGCGUGGGGAGCGAACAGGAUUAGAUACCCUGGUAGUCCACGCCGUAAACGUUGGGAACUAGGUGUUGGCGACAUUCCACGUCGUCGGUGCCGCAGCUAACGCAUUAAGUUCCCCGCCUGG